UACAGAGGGGGCAAGCGUUGUUCGGAAUUACUGGGCGUAAAGGGCGCGUAGGCGGCCUCUUAAGUCGAACGUGAAAUCCCCGGGCUCAACCCGGGAACUGCGUCCGAUACUGGGAGGCUUGAAUCCGGGAGAGGGAUGUGGAAUUCCAGGUGUAGCGGUGAAAUGCGUAGAUAUCUGGAGGAACAUCAGUGGCGAAGGCGACACCCUGGACUCAUACUGACACUGAGGUGCGAAAGCGUGGGGAGCAAACGGG
rnacentral:rRNA from 1 species